GACGAACGCUGGCGGCGCGCUUAACACAUGCAAGUCGAACGGAAAGGCCUGCUUUCCCUUGUGGAUUGCGGGUACUCGAGUGGCGAACGGGUGAGUAACACGUGAGUGAUCUGCCCCCAACUUGGGUAUAAGCCUGGGAAACUGGGUCUAAUUCCCGAUAGGACUGCAGGGUGGUGCCUGUGGUGGAAAACGAUUUUCUAGUGGUUGGGGAUGAGCUCGCGGCCUAUCAGCUUGUUGGUGGGGUAAUGGCCUACCAAGGCGGCGACGGGUAGCCGGCCUGAGAGGGUGGACGGCCAGAGUGGGACUGAGAUACGGCCCAGACUCCUACGGGAGGCAGCAGUGGGGAAUAUUGCACAAUGGGCGGAAGCCUGAGGCAGCGACGCCGCGUGGGGGAUGACGGCCUUCGGGUUGUAAACUCCUUUCGACCGCGAGGAAGCCACCUGGUUGGAAGGGUGGUGACGGUAGUGGUAGAAGAAGCACCGGCUAACUACGUG
rnacentral:rRNA from 1 species